UUUACGCGAUGGGUUUUUUCUACAGUAUUCUAAACCAAACUGUUCCACUUCGCCAUUAUUUCCUGUUAAAAAAAAGUUUGAAACUGAAAAGUACACUAUUGAUUUAGUCUGGAAACUGCGUUGUUGCCUCUCACUCACAAUCUCCAUUUCUGAUAAAAGUAAGAAGAAUCGUCGAUUUUUAUUCCUCUGAGUUUCAGAAUUGAUAGAUUUUGGAGUGAUAAAAAGCAGCAAAGAAAUUCGGUACGGCUUCAGAAAAAAGAAAACCAAGUUCAGUUUUUGGUUUAAGCCAUGAAGAAGGAAAACCCAGGUUGAGUUCUUAUGCAGCAAUCAUUACUUUUCCGAGAUAGCCUCAAGGUAAAAAAAAAUCAUUGAAAGUGUUUGUUGAAUUGUCUCAGUGAGAGUGAUGGAUAUUCGUUUUCAUUAUUGGGUUUGCAGGAAUGAAAAAUUUGAGAUGAUAGUCCCGUUCAGCUGUAAACAUUUUGAAUUGUCCUAUAGCAAAGAUGACGAAAAACAAACUUAGGUAUCCUAAUUUAGUUCCACUGCAAUUCUAUAUAUGGGGUUUAAAGGGGAUUCUCUUUUAAACUGUAUUUUUUUUCUUUGGCUUUGUAGUAGAGUGGUGGAUUCUUUGAAACAUCAUGCAGGUAGACCUGUGGUAAAUAUGGUGGAUCCUUUAGGUUAUUGAUAUAUGGAUAAUAAAACGGUAAAUAUAGCCUUAGGAGCAGAGCCGUGGGUGCCUUGCAUCAACCAGGUAUUUUCGGAUCGCCUUUGUUACCUAGAGACUUUGAAUUCAGUUAUUACGUGUGAGUUAUCUUACAACGGUAUCUAGAAUGAAUCCCUUGCAAGCAAUUGUUUGAUAAUACGAAGUUCUUGAUAAGGUUGGUUAAGAAAAAAAAGAGUAAUCAUUGAAAAACACUAAUUUCUCCAAUAUUUAUAGCUUAGGAUGGCAGUGGCGCCUCCCGUAAAACUAUCCGUAGAAGUCCUAGGCUAAUCGUGCAAGCUCGACUUCAAGAAACAAUACAUAUACAGAUCCGAAUUGGUAAGAUCUUCUUUUCAAAAAUAGAUUGAUUGUUUGCCUCUUGGUUUUUUGAUAGUCUAGAAUUUGACAUUUAUGUCCAUGGUUUCCAAAGGAAGCUUGAAUGUUCAAUUUUUAUGAACAUGGCAACAUGCUCUCAUAAAACAAUAGAUAAUAACUAAUGUUUUAGUGUAUUGUCAAUGUCAGGCAAAGAAGAACUAAACAGUCUUCGUAUAUUAGGAUACUACUCUAUACCAACAUUUAGCCAGCAUAUGCUUGACAAGGAUUCCCUUCCUGAUAUUUGGGCCUUAGGAUCCAGUAACCCUUGGCGCUUGCAGUCUUGAUUUACAAAAACCGUCAUACUUUCUUUGUGUGGACCCUGCCAAGGUGGGGAGUUAGUUUUAUUCCUGCCUCUUAUUUAUGCUAAUUUUCUAUGGGUAUUGAAACAACAUUGUCACUGUCCUUACCCUAAAUCACUCCUUUAUCAGUUCUGUGAACAAUCUUGGACUAUACUUAUUUCCUUUGGCUUCUCGCUUUUUCUUUUCAGUCUUUUGCCCAUCUUCCAACCUGUAGCAUUCAUAACAUAGAAAACCCUUUCAUGUUAACUUGAAUAUAUGCAGUACAUUGUAAUGUUGGAUGUAUUGAAACAAAUGUAUGAGAUUCCUUUUCUGUCUCGGGCCACUGGAUUCUAGCAACCUGAAAUGGAAUGUGUUUUCUUGCUGUUCUCUUACCAGCUUUACAUAGAUCGCCCUUCUCAUAAGAAUAUAUAUCAUGGUGUAAAUGGGAAUUUAAUGACAACAAUUUCUUGGGUGCAAUAGUAAAGUUGUUUAUCUUAUCACCAAGUAUGUAUUAGGAAGUUUGUCAAUUUCUGGAAUGUCACCUGAUUGAUUUUUAGUGUUUAACAUAUAUAAUUUCUUAAUAUAACGGGAUUGCGUUACUUAACACGCCGAUUAAAGUAAGACCGCUAAACAAGUCUAUGCCACAUCAAAUAUGAGCUUCUUAUUUUAGAUCAUUUUAUUUUUAAAAUAUUUAAAAACUCUCAAGUAAAUGAUUGCUUAUCCAAAUUUUCAUUUUCCGGGUCUGUUUGUUGUUGUUCGUUUUGUUUCGAGUUUCUUUAUCUUUUUCUUUCUUCAUGUUUCCGAUUUUAAGAUCGGUAAUUUUCCAGCAACUACAAAUUCAAGAAAUGUAUAGAUGAUUGUACAACAACUUCGUUGUUACCUUAUCUACUAGAGAAGAACAUAAAAAGAAGAGGUAUUCGUUUAUGUAUCUAUAUGUUUGUCAGGACCUAUUUACAAUAGAAGCGGAGAUCAGUAAUUUUCCUCUACUCAAUUAACACAGUAUGUUCAGAAAAUAGCUUUAAAGGCGCUAUGUCUGAUAGGCUUUGAGUUGUUGCUGAAAAAUGUUUGGGCAGUAUGUUUGGGAGCCUAUAUUGCAAUAACUAAAGGUGAUAUGCUAAGUAACACUUUUCAUGCAUAUAAUUUUUUUUAAGGCUUUUGAUAUCAUAUCUUGGAGCAAAUCAAAGUGAAUAAAAGAUGAGAUUUAGGCUAAUUUACGGAUCCAUGAUUUAUUGUUAGAAGGAAUUAUUCUUAGUACCUACACACUGCUAUCAUGUUUCACCAAAUUUAUUUUGAUUUUGCUGAUUAAAUUAAUUCUUUGCUUCAUUCUGACCUUAUGUUGGAAAAAUGUUAUUUCAGGAAUAUUAUCAAGGAUGUAAUCCCAUUUGGUUAGAUCCUAUUUCAUAAUUAUACUUCUGCAGGUGCUUGGAUGUAAGAUCACCCCAUCAUUAUCACAGUGGCCGUGAAAAAAGGAAAAACACCUUCAGAUUUUGGAUACUGAUAACAGAAAAACCAAAGCCCAGCUCAUCUCUUUGAAAUGGGACCCCCUUUUACACGGUGAGCGAGUGUGAGGUAAAUAAAAUUAAUUUAUCUUGCUCCCACUCCCUUUUAUCUUCCUCGCGCUACCCGAGAACAUUAGACUAUCAUAUUGUUAGAAGUUCCCUCCUGCUAAAAGAAAAUUCUGCGGGAAUUGGCAAAUGGGUAAGAACAUUAGACUAUCAUAUUGUAGUGGUGGUAUCUAUAGCUUCUUGCCGAUUCUGCACCAACCAUGAAACGCUGCAACCAGCUAGGCGGUCACCCUUCUCGACUGUCAUGGCCUCCCUGCGACACCAGAACCGAAGCAACCCUCUUUGCUGUAAUGGUGGUUAUCACAUAUUCAAUAUUUGUGUUGAUAUGGAUUAAAGUGAAAAACACUUACAUUUGUACUUUUCGUGUUGUACUGUUUUAAUGUAAUGGAUGUUAUUGAGCAUUAUAAUUUCACCUCUCGUCUCUCGACAAACCAA